UACGGAGGGUGCAAGCGUUGUUCGGAAUUAUUGGGCGUAAAGAGCUCGUAGGCGGCUCGUCGCGUCGACUGUGAAAACUCGGGGCUUAACCCCGGGCUUGCAGUCGAUACGGGCGGGCUAGAGUUCGGUAGGGGAGACUGGAAUUCCUGGUGUAGCGGUGAAAUGCGCAGAUAUCAGGAGGAACACCGGUGGCGAAGGCGGGUCUCUGGGCCGAUACUGACGCUGAGGAGCGAAAGCGUGGGGAGCGAACAGG
rnacentral:rRNA from 1 species